GCUGAAGUAAUUUAAAAUAGAAUGUUGUCUUGAAGCGGCGAAAGUGGUUUAUUCCCUUCAGUG
rnacentral:tRNA from 1 species